ensembl:misc_RNA Metazoa_SRP Metazoan signal recognition particle RNA
GCUGGGUGUGGUGGCGCAUGCCUGUGGUCCCAGCUACUCAGGAGGCUGAGGUGGGAGGAUCACUUGAGCCCUGGGAGGUUGAGGCUGCAGUGAGCUAUGAUGGCACCAAUGCACUCCAGCCAGGGCAACAGAGUGAGACACAGUCUCUA